UACAGAGGGUGCAAGCGUUAAUCGGAAUUACUGGGCGUAAAGCGCACGUAGGCGGCUUGGUAUGUCGGGUGUGAAAUCCCCGGGCUCAACCUGGGAACUGCAUCCGAAACUGCCUUGCUAGAGUAUGGGAGAGGGAAGCGGAAUUUCCGGUGUAGCGGUGAAAUGCGUAGAUAUCGGAAGGAACAUCAGUGGCGAAGGCGGCUUCCUGGACCAAUACUGACGCUCAGGUGCGAAAGCGUGGGGAGCAAACAGG
rnacentral:rRNA from 1 species